GGAAUAUCAAGGGAACAUCCGCAACCCUUGUGCGACCCAACAAUCCAUCAGUUCUCCUUUCCGGAGUUCAUAUCCUAAACGAAUCCAGUCGAGGGCAAUCCGAUCUUAGGGUCCUUCAAGUGGUAUCAGAGCCCACUCGUCUGAUAUUCUCUAUCUCGAUCCAUCUUCUCAUCUUCCAUUUCUUCUAAACACUUCUUCAUCUGUCU
rnacentral:lncRNA from 1 species